rnacentral:rRNA from 1 species
UUAGCAUAUCAUAAGCGGAGGAAAAGAAACCAACCGGGGAUUGCCCUAGUAACGGCGAGUGAAGCGGCAAGAGCUCAAAUUUGAAAGCUGGCCCCCUCGGGGUCCGCAUUGUAAUUUGCAGAGGAUGCUUCGGGAGCGGUCCCCAUCUAAGUGCCCUGGAACGGGCCGUCAUAGAGGGUGAGAAUCCCGUAUGGGAUGGGGUGCCCGCGCCCGUGUGAAGCUCCUUCGACGAGUCGAGUUGUUUGGGAAUGCAGCUCUAAUUGGGUGGUAAAUUUCAUCUAAAGCUAAAUAUUGGCCGGAGACCGAUAGCGCACAAGUAGAGUGAUCGAAAGAUGAAAAGCACUUUGAAAAGAGAGUUAAACAGCACGUGAAAUUGUUGAAAGGGAAGCGCUUGCGAUCAGACUCGCUCGCGGGGUUCAGCCGGCCUUCGGGCCGGUGUACUUCCCCGCGGGCGGGCCAGCGUCGGUUUGGGCGGCCGGUCAAAGGCCCCUGGAAUGUAACGCCUCUCGGGGCGUCUUAUAGCCAGGGGUGCCAUGCGGCCUGCCCGGACCGAGGAACGCGCUUCGGCUCGGACGCUGGCAUAAUGGUCGUAAGCGACCCGUCUUGAAACACGGACCAAGGAGUCUAACAUCUACGCGAGUGUUCGGGUGUCAAACCCGUGCGCGCAGUGAAAGCGAACGGAGGUGGGAACCCCUCGGGGUGCACCAUCGACCGAUCCUGAUGUCUUCGGAUGGAUUUGAGUAAGAGCGUAGCUGUUGGGACCCGAAAGAUGGUGAACUAUGCCUGAAUAGGGCGAAGCCAGAGGAAACUCUGGUGGAGGCUCGCAGCGGUUCUGACGUGCAAAUCGAUCGUCAAAUUUGGGUAUAGGGGCGAAAGACUAAUCGAACCAUCUAGUAGCUGGUUCCUGCCGAA